AUUGAACGCUGGCGGCAGGCCUAACACAUGCCAGUCGAGCGGAUGAAGGGAGCUUGCUCCUGGAUUCAGCGGCGGACGGGUGAGUAAUGCCUAGGAAUCUGCCUGGUAGUGGGGGAUAACGUCCGGAAACGGGCGCUAAUACCGCAUACGUCCUGCGGGAGAAAGUGGGGGAUCUUCGGACAUCACGCUAUCAGAUGAGCCUAGGUCGGAUUAGCUAGUUGGUGGGGUAAAGGCCUACCAAGGCGACGAUCCGUAACUGGUCUGAGAGGAUGAUCAGUCACACGGGAACUGGGACACGGUCAAGACUCCUACGGGAGGCAGCAGUGGGGAAUAUUGGACAAUGGGCGAGAGCCUGAUCCAGCCAUGCCGCGUGUGUGAAGAAGGUCUUCGGAUUGUAAAGCACUUUAAGUUGGGAGGAAGGGCAGUAAGUUAAUACCUUGCUGUUUUGACGUUACCAACAGAAUAAGCACCGGCUAACUUCGUG
rnacentral:rRNA from 1 species